rnacentral:rRNA from 1 species
UGGGGAAUAUUGCACAAUGGGCGAAAGCCUGAUGCAGCAACGCCGCGUGAGUGAUGAAGGUCUUCGGAUUGUAAAGCUCUGUCUUUUGGGACGAUAAUGACGGUACCAAAGGAGGAAGCCACGGCUAACUACGUGCCAGCAGCCGCGGUAAUACGUAGGUGGCGAGCGUUGUCCGGAUUUACUGGGCGUAAAGGGUGCGUAGGCGGAUGUUUAAGUGAGAUGUGAAAUACCCGGGCUUAACUUGGGUGCUGCAUUUCAAACUGGAUAUCUAGAGUGCAGGAGAGGAGAAUGGAAUUCCUAGUGUAGCGGUGAAAUGCGUAGAGAUUAGGAAGAACACCAGUGGCGGAGGCGAUUCUCUGGACUGUAACUGACGCUGAGGCACGAAAGCGUGGGUAGCAAACAGGAUUAGAUACCCUGGUAGUCCACGCCGUAAACGAUGAGUACUAGGUGUAGGAGGUAUCGACCCCUUCUGUGCCGCAGUAAACACAUUAAGUACUCCGCCUGGGAAGUACGAUCGCAAGAUUAAAAC